rnacentral:rRNA from 4 species
AAAUUGAAGAGUUUGAUCAUGGCUCAGAUUGAACGCUGGCGGCAGGCCUAACACAUGCAAGUCGAACGGUAGCACAGAGAGCUUGCUCUCGGGUGACGAGUGGCGGACGGGUGAGUAAUGUCUGGGAAACUGCCUGAUGGAGGGGGAUAACUACUGGAAACGGUGGCUAAUACCGCAUAACGUCGCAAGACCAAAGAGGGGGACCUUCGGGCCUCUUGCCAUCAGAUGUGCCCAGAUGGGAUUAGCUUGUUGGUGAGGUAA